rnacentral:rRNA from 1 species
GACGAACGCUGGCGGCGUGCUUAACACAUGCAAGUCGAACGAUGAAACCUAGCUUGCUAGGUCGAUUAGUGGCGAACGGGUGAGUAACACGUGACUAACCUGCCCCUUUCUCUGGGAUAACGCUCCGAAAGGAGUGCUAAUACCGGAUACUCACACCGAGGCACAUGCCUUGGUGUGGAAAGUUUUUCGGAAAGGGAUGGAGUCGCGGCCUAUCAGCUUGUUGGUGAGGUAACGGCUCACCAAGGAGACGACGGGUAGCCGGCCUGAGAGGGCGACCGGCCACACUGGGACUGAGACACGGCCCAGACUCCUACGGGAGGCAGCAGUGGGGAAUAUUGCACAAUGGGCGCAAGCCUGAUGCAGCGACGCCGCGUGAGGGAUGAAGGUCUUCGGAUUGUAAACCUCUUUCAGUAGGGACGAAGCGAAAGUGACGGUACCUAAAGAAGAAGCACCGGCUAACUACGUGCCAGCAGCCGCAGUAA